ensembl:lncRNA
UUUUAGUUAUGUUAUAUAAAGUUAUGUUAUACAAAAAUACAAGCAACAAUAUUUCGUAACAUUCAUGUGCAAAAUGUAUCUUAUUUGUAACAUACUGUGGAUCAAGUAUUCAUAAAUUGACUUUGACAGAGCUAAGCUCCAGAUUCCAUGUCUUUCAUUGAUCGUUUCCCAGAAUUCUCCCUAAUCCAAAGGGAAUGGGGCAUGCUGUUCCUGCCUGUGUUCAGUCAGUUCAUUUCUUCUUCCUGGUCCAUGUGGAAUCCCAAACAUUGAACACCUGAUUAGCAUUGCCAGGACCACCAUCAGUGGUCAUUGGUAAACCAAGCAUCAGUCAUUAUGACACUGCUGUAGUCCUUUUUGAUUGAUCGAUCCAUGUGACAUCUUUAUCACAGAUUACCAUCAGACUUGUAAAAACACACAUCCUCCAUGUUCAGAGGAACAUGCUGGUCCGGUCCAGUCUGGUCCGCUCUAUAGGGACCUGGUCAGAGGAACAUGUUGGUCUGGUCCAGUCUGGUCCGCUCUAUAGGGACCUGGUCAGAGGAACAUGUUGGUCUGGUCCAGUCUGGUCCGCUCUAUAGGGACCUGGUCAGAGGAACAUGCUGGUCCGGUCCAGUCUGGUCCGCUCUAUAGGGACCUGGUCUGAGGGACAUGUUGGUCUGGUCCAGUCUGGUCCCCUCUAUAGAGACC